rnacentral:rRNA from 1 species
AUUGAACGCUGGCGGCAGGCUUAACACAUGCAAGUCGAGCGGAGAUGAGGUGCUUGCACCUUAUCUUAGCGGCGGACGGGUGAGUAAUGCUUAGGAAUCUGCCUAUUAGUGGGGGACAACAUUCCGAAAGGAAUGCUAAUACCGCAUACGCCCUACGGGGGAAAGCAGGGGAUCUGCGGACCUUGCGCUAAUAGAUGAGCCUAGGUCGGAUUAGCUAGUUGGUGGGGUAAAGGCCUACCAAGGCGACGAUCUGUAGCGGGUCUGAGGGGAUGAUCCGCCACACUGGGACUGAGACACGGCCCAGACUCCUACGGGAGGCAGCAGUGGGGAAUAUUGGACAAUGGGCGGAAGCCUGAUCCAGCCAUGCCGCGUGUGUGAAGAAGGCCUUUUGGUUGUAAAGCACUUUAAGCGAGGAGGAGGCUACUAGUACUAAUACUACUGGAUAGUGGACGUUACUCGCAGAAUAAGCACCGGCUAACUCUGUGCCAGCCGCCGCGGUAAGAC